rnacentral:rRNA from 1 species
GGCGGCGCGUCUUAGCAUGCAGUCGGACGGGAACCUCGGUGCUUGCAUUGAGGGGAGAGUGGCGAACGGGUGAGUAACACGUGGAUAAUCUACCUCCGGGAUGGGGAUAACUACCCGAAAGGGUGGCUAAUACCGAAUGAGAUGGUGGUUGCAUAUGCAACAGCCAUUAAAGGUGGGGACCGCAAGGCCUACCGCCUGGGGAUGAGUCCGCGGCCCAUUAGCUUGUUGGCGGGGUAAUGGCCCACCAAGGCGACGAUGGGUAACCGGCCUGAGAGGGUGAACGGUCACACUGGGACUGAGAUACUGCCCAGACUCCUACGGGAGGCAGCAGUUAAGAAUUUUGCGCAAUGGGCGAAAGCCUGACGCAGCGACGCCGCGUGGACGAUGAAGGUCUUCGGAUUGUAAAGUCCAGUAAGCAGGGACGAAUAAGCAAGGGGUAAUAUUCCUUGUGAUGACGGUACCUGUCUAAAGCCUCGGCUAACUACGUGCCAGCAGCCGCGGUAAUACGUAUGAGGCGAGCGUUGUUCGGAAUUAUUGGGCAUAAAGGGCGUGUACGCGGGGAAUUAAGUUAGGUGUGAAAGCCACGGGCUCAACCCGUGAAUUGCACCUAAUACUGGUUCUCUUGAGUUCG